rnacentral:lncRNA from 10 species
GCCACCCCGCGGAGGAGGCCCCAGUGCCACAGCCCAGGGCCCCCGAGAGCUCUGGGAGCCCGGGGCAAAUGCUAGAAAUUUGCUUAGAACGUCCGGGUCCCACGGAAGGCGCCCUUGCCGCCCUCUCUCGGGUCGUAGCUCCCUGACGCUGGGGCGCAACCCCUUCGCUCCUCCUCCCCGCUGGCCGCGGCCGGGCUUCCCCAGCUCUUGCUGCUUCGGGCCUGUGACUUCUGCAACCCCGGGCUGGGGGCCGCGGGGUCUCAGGGCCGGUGACGCCGCACUGGGAGCCGCCCCAAAGAGGUUACUCACCUCCCUCGUCCCGCACAUUAUUCUGACCCAAGAGCCUCCACCCCACACGGGAUUUUGCGCGUCGUCCACGCCCGGCCGGCGGCCUUUGCUGCUCCCAGCCCUGCGCGGCUUUGGUCCCAGCCUCGGUGGCCCCUGUGCCAAACCGGGGACAGGCGGAAGGGAGUCUCCUAGGGACCCUAAGUAGCCUGGGGCCAACAACCCCUUUCCUCUCUGCUCUCCCCUCAAAACAAGUUUCAGGAUCUUGCAGGCCUCGCGGCGUCGUUCUUCGUUGUGGCGGCCUGUGGCUCUUUGAAAAACACGACGAGGCCUGCAAAAUGCGUUUUUCUUUUUUUCCUUUACGCAUGUAACCACGGUCCUGCAUCGUGAAACGGUACGCGCGUCGGUGGCAAAAGAAAAACAGCAGUGGCUGCAAAGCUAAGGGCCCUCGCUUUCAGAGGAGAGAAUUUUCUUUCUCCAUGCGGGUGGAAAGUGGCCUCUGCGGGUCCAACCCCACUUCUUCUUGGGCCCGUGCGCUCCGGCUGCGCCGCAGGGACCGCGGACAGCUUCGCCAAGGCACUGCCUGCCCGCCCGGCUCCGGGUCCCCGCUCCCACUCCCAGCCGCGUGGCCCAACCUCUCCUGGGCUUCACUGCAAAUCACCCCUUCCUCUCCCGCCUCCUAAGUCUGUCGAGCAGACCUAGGGGCCGGCUACAGUUGGGAGGGCAACGGGAAAGAUCAAGCCACAAUCAUUCCGAAUUAUCGCCCCAGACACCUCCCUAGACUCUGGGGAACGAACGCGUGCUGAGCCUCCCCGCCGCUUUGGAGACGGGGCUAGAUUUUCGUUGCCUCCGGCUCUCGACAGGUGCAAAACAAUGAAUUCCAAGCCUCGGAAGCAAAGAAGCUUAGGAUCCGACGGUGGCCGCAAGAUCUCAUCAUGGAUCUGACCCCUGCUCAGCGCGCGCCAUUUCGUCGUUGCCAAACGAAAUCAAGCCCCGCGUGCGCUCCAGGGGCGAAGGACUCUGGACUCACCCCGACCACCGGGAGAGCUGGCCCCUACCCACCUCGGGACCUCACAGCACGCCCUCAGGCCGUGUCGAAAGGAAGGACGGCAAAGGUCCCUUACUGAACCUUUUAAGAGAGCCUGCGCCUGGCAGUUGUCGAUUGCGGACCCAGGCCCGCGCGCCCUCGGACGCGCUGGCACGAGCAGCAGAACUAGAGGAAAGCGAGUGAUCCAGCCUGGGCGCUCCCACCUCCGGGAACGUCUCCGAGAAGGCGCAGCGCGUCGUGGCCAGCUCUGCAAGGUUGGUGUAACCCCUACAGAUGAGGAAACCAGAGACAGAGAAGUGAAGUAACUCAUGCAGGUGACGGCAGAGGGCAGAGUCAGGACUUGAACCUGGAGAGCCUGGCUCUAAAGCCCAAGCUGGAAUCUCGAUACUCUACACCUCGAUAAGUUUUUGGGAAAUGACUGACUAAACAGAUGAACGCGUUUGCCCCCCCGCCGCCCCAGAGCCCCCUUAAAGCCUACAUGUGGCAGUUUGGGCCCAUUUCCUUGGCUUCCCUCCCUGGAGGGGCACCCACUGCCAGUGUCCCUGCUGAAAUUUAGCAUCAUAUUCCAUGGCGAUUUUCCACCAGUGGAAAUCACAGGUGUUCUCUGGUAUCACAGCGGGGUCAGGGAUGACCUGAAAUAUUGUUCAUGCUCAUCACAACUGCAUGGCCCACCGCGGGGUCUUGUCACUCAGUGAGUUCUUGAAGAGGCACAGACAAAUGGAGUUCAACAAAUGGAAAACAACUGCCUUUAAUUAGCUCCGAGGACUACAAAGGGAACAACGUUAUAAUAGCAGCAACUCCAAGGAAGCAGCCACAGCUCUCAGCUCUCAGACCUGGGGCUGCCGCUCAUCAUCAGCUACAGCUAGGUUUGAUGGGAGUGCCCCCAUUUCAGGGGACAGCAGGCCCCCUUCACUCCCCGACUCAGUCCCCAUCUGCAGCAGCACAGCCUUCCUUGGCCUCACCAGGGAAGAAGAACAGGCCCCGCUCUCAGACAAGCCUUCCCAGAAGCCUGAGGACUCAAACACCCAAAUGUGUCUGGGUCCCUGCCCCGAGCCGGCCACCCAGGCAGCAGCCCUGAAUCACUCGGUCAGCCAGCGGCAGGGCAGGCCAAUGGGCUGGAGGGUAGGCAGGCAGGCAGACCCACCUCUGCAUCUCUGCUGACUGCCUCGGCUGAGGAAAGGCAGCACCAGCCCCCAACCCUGAAGUUCUAGAUCUCAUGCAGCCUCUCUGUUCUGGAACCAUCCAGAGGCACUGCCCUUAUACAUGGUCCACCCCCAGGCUCAGACAAUGAGAAUUCCACAAGCAGAGGGGACUCUAUUUGGGGCACAGAGAGGUUAAGUAACUCCCCUCCUAAGGUCUCUCAGCAAGGAAGCCACUGAGCCGUGGGACUUGAGCUCAGGGACUCUUGAUCCCCAGUCUCAGGUGUCACAGCCCCAUCUGGGCUCCUGCUAGGGAGGAGGAAGGCAGCAGGGGGUGUCUGAGGCCAGGGUGCAUCAGCCCUAAAUGCCAGACAGAGGCAGGAGAAGUCUCCCCAUGAGUCCCAGCCCCAUUAGAGGCUCCAGGUCGGGGAUCCCAGACCCCCUAUCCUUGCUGGGAGACACAACCCAGAACUCUGCAUCCCUGCAGCCACCAAAAAAGGCAAAAGCUGCCCAGAAACACUUUCUCCUCUUCCGUGGCCAAAUCCACGAACUUUCUCGAGGUCUGUCCCCCUGCCCCGUGCAGGUCCAGCUUCAGUGCAGCCCAGCUCUGUGCAGUUUUCCACAAAAGCCUGUGGCUUCCUUCUCCUCCCUCUGCUUCUGAUACCCCAGGAGUUACACACAAAAUGUUGGCGGUGGUCUCCAGGAAGACCCCUGCAUCCCACAGCUCUCCCCAGAAGUUGCCAGCAGUGACCUCCUGAGCCCAGGUGGGGAGUCCCAGGCAGGACAGGGGCUGGGGCUGCAGGCCCUGGGGCCCUGUUAGUGAAGCAGCAAGCCGAGGGUCCCUGAGAGUUUCCCUUGGCCCCUCUGAGGGCUGCCCUUUGAGGUCUUGAGGUCUUGGAGUAUCCAUCGCCCCCACGGCUUACUGUCCCCACCAGCGGAGGAUGAAAGUGCCACAGCGAUGUUCCACGCCAAGAGACCACAGAGACCACCAACCCCUCUUCCCACCUCAGGCUUUCAGAGGCCAGCGGAUUUAGGCGGACAGGCUGUGCGCUUGAGGGCAGCCAGGGCGGUCAGUGGAGGGACGUGGUCCGGGGCCUGGCCACAGCUCCCCACCCAGGGCCCUGGGCUAUUGUUACUCACCGCGGAUGAAGGUCGGCGAGUAGGUCGGGAAGGAGUCGAAGAUGCUGUUCGAUGCCAUGCCCCGCUCUGAAGAAGGCCAGGCUGCGAGGCCCAGGGUGGUGACGC